UCUGAAGCCUGGGUUAGCGGCGAGGUAAUAAAGGGGUCCCAAGUGUUGUGUGGAAUAGCUGGGCGUAAAGGGUGCGUAGGUGGUGGUGUAAGUCUGAGGUGAAAUAGCCGAGCGCAACUCGGAAAUGGCAGUGGAAACUACCCUGCUGGAUGGUCGGAGGGGGGACUGGAAUUCUCGGUGUAGCAGUGAAAUGCGUAGAUAUCGAGAGGAACACCAGUGGCGAAGGCGAGUCCCUGGACGACUCCUGACACUGAGGCACGAAAGCUAGGGGAGCAAACAGGAUUAGAUACCUGAGUAGCC
rnacentral:rRNA from 1 species